rnacentral:lncRNA from 10 species
UCCAUAUAAAAAUCCCAUUUGACAAAUAAGAACAUUGAUGAAUAUUUCAAUUCAAGUCUGGCUGACUCCAACACACUUGUACUAUACUCCACUAUCACCCAAUCUCUAUACUGAAUAUACUAACCUGCCCUGUCCAUUGUCUCUGUGCUCAGGUCCUAGAUCCUGCACUCCUAUUUAUUUGGAAUCUUAACACGAAACCCAAUAUUAGUUGUAAAAUAGGACCAUCUCUAUGCAUUAGUUAUCAAUUGGUGCAUAACAACUUGCUCUGAAAUUUGGCAGUUUAAAACAGCAAGUAUUUAUUUUCUCCAUUUCUGUAGAUCACAAGCCUGGGCAUGGCUUAUUUGGGCUCUCUGGCUCAACAACAGUUCCUCAUGAGAUUGGAGUUGAGCUAUUGGCCAAGGCUGCAGUUUCAUAUAAAGGUUUGACUGGGGCUGAGGGAAGUUGGAGGAUCUGCUUCCAAGCUCACUCAUGUGGAAGUUGGCAGUCCCCAGUCCCUUCCCACAUGAACCUUUUACAGAAUUUUCUCAAAACAUGGCAGCUUGUUUCUUCCUGAAGAGUGACCUUCAGAGAUUUUUUUCCCUGGUGUCAGAUCUUCCUGCACUAGUAUGUAGUCAUCUCUUUCACUGCUGCUUCUAGGAAGCUCCUUGACUUGGGGUCCUUCCUUCAGUCUUAUUCAAGUUGCUGCUCCAUAGCUUUUACCAAGUUGCCACAACAAAUUAUGCUGUUUGGUGAAGCUUAGUCCUUUCUAACUUUCAACCUAGUAUUAGUACUUGACCUGGUCAUAAUAAUGUUCUCAAAUUUUAUUUUACUUUGCUACAAACAUUUUUCAGGUGAAGAUUCCAUAACACAUUUCCUCUAUCAGCUUUCACUUUCUGGUAGAAGAAAAAAUGAAAUACCAAUGAAGUAAUCACUUUGAGAAGAUUUUUGAGGGUUUAUAUUUUCACAUUUGAUUCAGUAAGAGGAAUAUGAGUAAUUCACAUUUGAAUUGUUAUCUUUAUAUGUUUUAAAGUUAUAUAUUGAGGCCAAGUGCAGUGGCUCAUGACUAUAAUUCUAUCGCUGUGGGAAGCCAAGGCAGAAGGAUUGCUUGAGGCCAGUUGUUUGAGAUCAGCCUGGGCAACAUAGCAAGACCCCAUCUCUACAAAAGAAAAACUUUAAAAAAUAGCUAGGCAUGGUAGUGCACACCUGUAGUCUCAGCUACUUGGAAGGCUGAGGUGGGAGGAUCACUUGAGGCCAGGAAUUCAAGG